UGUGUUCUGGAACGAUCAGAAGGGGCUCCAUAGGAGCCAAGCCCUAAUUCUUCAAAAGCUUCAAAUCAAGGGAUGAUUCAAGGCUCAAAUUCGCAAAUAAACAUGGAAUAAUGAUCACCGUCACAAGGGGAUCAUAAGAAUAGGAAACACACAAGCGUGGACUAAGCAUGGAAGGCUAACGGGUCAAGAUGAGGCAGGGAAGCGGUCACGAACACGGAUGCACAAGGUUGUACGAGUCACGGAAGAUCACUGAGGUGUGGAGAUCGAAGACCGAGUCACAAGUUAGAUUGUACGGGAAUGUUUGAAUAACUAAUUUGGUCAUUUCAUGGAAGCGUAGGGACUAAAUAUGCAACGUACCAAAGUAAAAGGGCAUAAAGUGCAACUCACCCUGAUAAAUACAG